ACAAGUAAUCCUCGUGUGUGACAGAGAGAGAGAGAGAGAGAGAGAGAGAGAGAGAGAGAGAAACGAGCUGGCGGAGAGGAGCAGAAGGCAGGAGGGGAAAUCUGGCACAACGGCUGGGAGAGGAAACUUGAUGCUUCUGGGCCACCAUUUGCCAGGGCCUCGCUCGAGCCGGCGCCUCGGUUCCUGCCCAGCUGGAUUUGGGGGGCAGCAUUGCCUGGCGCAGGGAGAUCAAAUGAGACUGCAAAGAAGCAUAAAAUGAAUAGACAAUCCAACCAACCAAAGGAAAUUGCUUUGGAGAUGAGGAAACAAACUCUUAUGGAGACCUAAGAGACUGAAGACAUCUGGCGUGGACUACUCUGAUGACUCAUUGCUUCCAGCUGUUCGUGGACCAAUACUAGAUGCCAGCAAUAGAGAAAUCACUGCAGUUCCCCAAAGGAAAAAAGUCACGUGUUCAUGAUGAUCAAACACAGCUGUUUGAUUGGUGUUAAAAUGGAUCUGCCUGAUAAGACCUGGAACUGAGAACCCAAACAGAGCCUUAAGGUAAGCUCCCAAGGGAAGUGCUGGCAGUAGAUAUUCAGAGG
rnacentral:lncRNA from 1 species